rnacentral:rRNA from 1 species
GGUAAGGAAUAACGUCGAGAAAUCGGCGCUAAUACCUCAUAAUGCAGCGGAUCCGCAUGGAUAUGUGUUAAAGGUUUACCGCCUUGGGAUAGGCUUGCGUCUGAUUAGCUAGUUGGUGUGGUAACGGCACACCAAGGCUACGAUCAGUAACUGGUCUGAGAGGAUGAUCAGUCACACUGGAACUGAGACACGGUCCAGACUCCUACGGGAGGCAGCAGUGAGGAAUAUUGGGCAAUGCUCGAAAGAGUGACCCAGCAACGCCGCGUGGAGGAUGAAGGUAUUCUAUAUCGUAAACUCCUGUGAGAGCAGACGAAAGACAGAUUAUUAAUCUGGAUGACUGUAUGCUCAGAGGAAGCCCCGGCUAACUACGUG